rnacentral:lncRNA from 10 species
UCCCAACCAGAGAAGAAGGAGGGCUUCGGUGCUGGUUUGAAAAAUCCCAGUGCCAGAAGGCACCUCUUCUCAUAGCCACCACAACUAUGAAUAUGAUGGGUCACUCCGGAAGCCAGCAUGUCCCUGAGUCUCACCCAAGGCCCAUGUGCACAGAUUCUCUCUCCUCACCACGAGGGCACUGCCAGGGAAUAGGGAGAGGUGGAGUCAACAAUUCAAGACUGACUUUCCUACCUUCUUCAGUGCCUCUUUCAGUAAUAUGAAGUUAAAACCAGGUACUGUGAGUGCUCACCUUAGUUUUGGUUCCUAUGAAGGUGCUGUUUUGGGUAGAUAGUUGCCAGAUUUGGUGUUCCUGUGGGGAAGACAAUCAGUGGAGGCCUCUGUUCCACCAUCUUGCUCCACCUCCUCCAGAAGCCUAGCAUUCUAAGUCAUGUACUGUCAUAUCUACCCAUUCACCAGUUAUGGGCUGAAUUGUAUACCCCCAAAUUCCUUAUGAUGAAGCCCUCUGGUACCUAAUAAUGUGACUGCAUUUGGAGAUAGUAUCAUUAAAGAUAGUAUCAAUCCAUCCAUCCAUCCAUCCAUCCAUCCAUCCAUCCAUCCGUCCAUCCAUCCAUUUAAACAUCUAUCCAUUCAUCUAUCAUAUAUUGAGUGCUUAUGCAAUAUAUCUGGGCAACAAUCUAGGCAAAGUGCCUCAUAUUGGGAUAAAAAAGGAACAGAUCGGUCUCUGCC